GAUGAACGCUGGCGGCGUGCCUAAUACAUGCAAGUCGAGCGAACGGACGAGAAGCUUGCUUCUCUGAUGUUAGCGGCGGACGGGUGAGUAACACGUGGAUAACCUACCUAUAAGACUGGGAUAACUUCGGGAAACCGGAGCUAAUACCGGAUAAUAUUUUGAACCGCAUGGUUCAAAAGUGAAAGACGGUCUUGCUGUCACUUAUAGAUGGAUCCGCGCUGCAUUAGCUAGUUGGUAAGGUAACGGCUUACCAAGGCAACGAUGCAUAGCCGACCUGAGAGGGUGAUCGGCCACACUGGAACUGAGACACGGUCCAGACGCCUACGGGAGGCAGCAGUAGGGAAUCUUCCGCAAUGGGCGAAAGCCUGACGGAGCAACGCCGCGUGAGUGAUGAAGGUCUUCGGAUCGUAAAACUCUGUUAUUAGGGAAGAACAUAUGUGUAAGUAACUGUGCACAGCUUGACGGUACCGAAUCAGAAAGCCACGGCUAACUACGUG
rnacentral:rRNA from 1 species